rnacentral:rRNA from 1 species
GAUGAACGCUGGCGGCGUGCCUAAUACAUGCAAGUCGAGCGAACAGACGAGGAGCUUGCUUCUCUGACGUUAGCGGCGGACGGGUGAGUAACACGUGGAUAACCUACCUAUAAGACUGGGAUAACUUCGGGAAACCGGAGCUAAUACCGGAUAAUAUAUUGAACCGCAUGGUUCAAUAGUGAAAGACGGUUUUGCUGUCACUUAUAGAUGGAUCCGCGCCGCAUUAGCUAGUUGGUAAGGUAACGGCUUACCAAGGCAACGAUGCGUAGCCGACCUGAGAGGGUGAUCGGCCACACUGGAACUGAGACACGGUCCAGACUCCUACGGGAGGCAGCAGUAGGGAAUCUUCCGCAAUGGGCGAAAGCCUGACGGAGCAACGCCGCGUGAGUGAUGAAGGUCUUCGGAUCGUAAAACUCUGUUAUUAGGGAAGAACAAAUGUGUAAGUAACUAUGCACGUCUGGACGGUACCUAAGCAGAAAGCCACGGCUAACUACGU